AUGGAUGGGGAAAAAUGAUUGUUUCUGAGGGGACUGUUGUCUGGCUCGAUGCAUUAAUAAUAAUUAUAAUUAUAUAAUUAUAAUUAUAAUGAAAAAAGGGUAUCGGACCAGGCUUCAUUCCCUUCAGAAUCAAAUUCAUUAUUUGAUCUUUUU
rnacentral:pre_miRNA from 1 species